rnacentral:rRNA from 1 species
CCUACGGGUGGCAGCAGUGAGGAAUAUUGGUCAAUGGGCGCGAGCCUGAACCAGCCAAGUAGCGUGAAGGAUGACUGCCCUACGGGUUGUAAACUUCUUUUAUAAAGGAAUAAAGUGAGGCACGUGUGCCUUUUUGUAUGUACUUUAUGAAUAAGGAUCGGCUAACUCCGUGCCAGCAGCCGCGGUAAUACGGAGGAUCCGAGCGUUAUCCGGAUUUAUUGGGUUUAAAGGGAGCGUAGAUGGGUUGUUAAGUCAGUUGUGAAAGUGUGCGGCUCAACGGUAAAAUUGGAAUUGAUACUGGGAGGGGGGAGGACGGGUGAGGGAGGGGGGAGUGGGGGGGUAGCGGUGAAAUG